GAGAAUCACAAGUUCAUGGAAGGUUGCCUAGACAACCAAACUCAGGCCCCACCCACAGUGCCUGGCAACCAAGGCCAGUCAGAGGUGCAGCAGAAAAUGGAUACGCCUCCACAAGAGGCUCCAGAUGGAUCCUUGAACUAUGAAAACACAGACAACGGAUCUGAACAUGCUGGGGUUGGAUCAUCCGAGCAAACUGGCGGCAAAGCAUCCAGCCAAACUGCUAAUGCUGGGUCUGAACAGACCGACCAAAGAACUCCUGAAGAGGCUUUUCAGUUGACUGACCACAGGAGAACAUCUCAGCAGGCUGACCGCACAUCAUCUAGUCAGGCUGAGAGAAGAACUUCUGAGCUACCUAAUCAGCCAUUGCCCAGUUUGCUUGAGGGAAAAGCCUCUGAGAAGAUAGAUGAUCAAGUGUCGUUGCCCUCUGGUGGGAAAGCUUCUGAGAAGACUGACCAAGAAUCUUCGGAGCGUGAUGAGCAGACUUCAUCAGACCAAGAUGACUAUAAGACAUCAGAAAAGAGUCAACACGAAGUCUACAACCAAGAUGACUUCCUAGAUGAAGAUGACCUUGAUCAACACAGGUUGAGUGAGGACAGCAACCGAAUUAGCCACGAAACAGACAAACAGGCUGACCACCGCUCAUACUACAGAACACUUGCCCAGGCUGAGAACCGCACAUUAUCUGAAAUUGGUGACAACAAAGAGAUCAAAGAAGCUGACUUCAAAAUACAGCCUUGCACAUUUGAAGAUAGCCAAACGGACAACACAUCUGAUGAGGAAACAGAGAGUACAACCACUACCCAAGCUUACAACCUACCUGAUACUGAAUUCACCAGCGAGUCCCAGUCCUCCUAUGACAAACUGCCCUCCAUCACCAACAAAGUGUACCACACCUCCAACCAAGACAAAAUUCAGACCACAGAAAUCACUACUGAUAUUCUUACAGACUUUGAGCAAAGAAAGAGUUCUCAGAGACCAAGUCAAACUUACGGGAGGCGAUUCCCUCCAAUCAUUUUUGAAGACCCUUAUCAAGUUGCACUCCGCUACAUGGAAAAGCACAACAUUCUUCAGAUAUUCCAGCGGAUCACUGAAAACCUAGUCUAUGAAAAGCCGGAUGACCCUCUGAAAUUCAUGCUAGACCAGGUAUGGAGUGGGAGAGAACAACCCUUCUGUUCUUAUUGUCGGAACGUGGCACACACAGAGACAGAUGGACAAAACAGACCAUGAACAGCUCCAAGCCAUCAUGAAGGAAACGUACUGCAGCUUCCAUCCAAGAGUUUUUACUGAAGUCCAGAACAAAUCUCGGGAUGGGGGCUCACCUCCUGAAUGCCGGUGCUCAGGGAGCAGAAGCAGGCAGAUCUCUGUGAGUUCAAGGCCAGCUAGGACUACAUAGUGAGACCUUGUCUCAAACUAGAAAAGAGUGGCUCAGCAUCAUAGAAGGCCCCCUCCUCAUGAGUUCCCACACAGGAGUUGCUUAUUUUGACCUCUCUAAGAGCUUGCUCACUCUGCUUUAAAAUUUUACUGUCAAACAUGAAUCAUGAAACCCUUUUGUUGAGACCUGUAAGCUCUCUGAACUGUCUUUGCUCAGAGCUGUUUUCAUCUUCUCUCUUUUGUCCCAAAUUCUGUCUGGAAGACGGAGCCUUCUGUUGCAUGUAGCUGUUCAUCCAUUUUCAUCUCUGCAUGCUAUCAUCAGGUAGACUACUGCAGCUGAUUCAUCCUCUUUUCCAAGGACAUGCAGAAUAUUUCCAAUUUGGAGCUGUCACGAGAAACCUUGCAGUACAGGACAUGAUCCGAUUCAGAGACGAGCAGAGGAACAUCUGAAGACUAACUCUCGCCAGCACUGUGCUCUGUCACCCACGUCAGCUCUGUGCUCCUCUCUCCCUGGAAAAAAUGUGUUUUCAGCAGGCAUUGACGGUGA